AUGGUUAAGUUAGAAAGGGCGCACGGUGAAUGCCUUGGCACUAGGAGCCGAUGAAGGACGGGACUAACACCGAUAUGCUUCGGGGAGCUGUAAGUGAGCUUUGAUCCGGAGAUUUCCGAAUGGGGAAACCCACUGUUCGUAAUGGAACAGUAUCUUUACCUGAAUCCAUAAGGUAU
rnacentral:rRNA from 1 species